rnacentral:rRNA from 1 species
CCUACGGGAGGCAGCAGUAGGGAAUAUUGGUCAAUGGGCGAAAGCCUGAACCAGCAACGCCGCGUGCGCGAUGAAGGCCUUCGGGUCGUAAAGCGCUUUUGGGAGGGAUGAAAAUGACAGUACCUCCCGAAUAAGGAUCGGCUAACUACGUGCCAGCAGCCGCGGUAAGACGUAGGAUCCAAGCGUUAUCCGGAAUUACUGGGCGUAAAGGGCGUGUAGGAGGUUGGGCAAGUCGGCCAUGAAAGCUCCCGGCUCAACUGGGAGAGGCUGGUCGAUACUGCCUGGCUAGAGGGCAAGAGAGGGAGGUGGAAUUCCCGGUGUAGUGGUGAAAUGCGUAGAUAUCGGGAGGAACACCAGUGGCGAAGGCGGCCUCCUGGCUUGUACCUGACUCUGAAACGCGAAAGCAUGGGGAGCAAACAGGAUUAGAAACCCUGGUAGUCCAUGCCAUAAACGAUGUCAACUGGGUGUCGGCGAAGUAAAAUUUGUCGGUGCCGAAGCUAACGCGUUAAGUUGACCGCCUGAGGACUACGAUCGCAAGAUUAAAACUCAAAGGAAUUGACGG